AGGAUGAACGCUAGCGAUAGGCCUAACACAUGCAAGUCGAGGGGCAGCACAUGAAGUAGCGAUACGGAUGGUGGCGACCGGCGCACGGGUGAGUAACGCGUAUGCAAUCUACCUACAACAAGGGGAUAACCCGUUGAAAGACGGACUAAUACCCUAUAAUACAGGGGGUCCCGCAUGGGAAUAUUUGUUAAAGAUUCAUCGGUUGUAGAUGAGCAUGCGUUCCAUUAGCUAGUUGGUGAGGUAACGGCCCACCAAGGCAACGAUGGAUAGGGGAACUGAGAGGUUUAUCCCCCACACUGGUACUGAGACACGGACCAGACUCCUACGGGAGGCAGCAGUGAGGAAUAUUGGUCAAUGGACGCAAGUCUGAACCAGCCACGUCGCGUGAAGGAAGACGGCCCUAUGGGUUGUAAACUUCUUUUGUAAGGGAAUAAAGUGAGUCACGGGUGGCUUAUUGCAUGUACCUUACGAAUAAGGAUCGGCUAACUCCGUG
rnacentral:rRNA from 1 species